CGUGAAACUGCGAAUGGCUCAUUAAAUCAGUUAUCGUUUAUUUGAUAAUACCUUACUACUUGGAUAACCGUGGUAAUUCUAGAGCUAAUACAUGCUGAAAAUCCCGACUUCGGAAGGGAUGUGCUUAUUAGAUAAAAAACCAAUGCCCUUCGGGGCUCUUUGGUGAUUCAUGAUAAUUUUACGGAUCGCAUAGCCUUGCGCUGGCGACGGUUCAUUCAAAUUUCUGCCCUAUCAACUUUCGAUGGUAAGGUAUUGGCUUACCAUGGUUUCAACGGGUAACGGGGAAUUAGGGUUCGAUUCCGGAGAGGGAGCCUGAGAAACGGCUACCACAUCCAAGGAAGGCAGCAGGCGCGCAAAUUACCCAAUCCCGACACGGGGAGGUAGUGACAAUAAAUACUGAUACAGGGCUCUUUUGGGUCUUGUAAUUGGAAUGAGUACAAUUUAAACCUCUUAACGAGGAACAAUUGGAGGGCAAGUCUGGUGCCAGCAGCCGCGGUAAUUCCAGCUCCAAUAGCGUAUAUUAAAGUUGUUGCAGUUAAAAAGCUCGUAGUUGAAACUUGGGCCUGGCUGGCGGGUCCGCCUCACCGCGUGCACUCGUCCGGCCGGGCCUUCCUUCUGAAGAACCUCAUGCCCUUCACUGGGCGUGUUGGGGAAUCAGGACUUUUACUUUGAAAAAAUUAGAGUGUUCAAAGCAGGCCUUUGCUCGAAUACGUUAGCAUGGAAUAAUAAAAUAGGGCGUGCGUUUCUAUUUUGUUGGUUUCUAGAGACGCCGCAAUGAUUAACAGGAACAGUCGGGGGCAUCAGUAUUCAGUUGUCAGAGGUGAAAUUCUUGGAUUUACUGAAGACUAACUACUGCGAAAGCAUUUGCCAAGGAUGUUUUCAUUAAUCAGUGAACGAAAGUUAGGGGAUCGAAGACGAUCAGAUACCGUCGUAGUCUUAACCGUAAACUAUGCCGACUAGGGAUCGGGCGAUGUUCUUUUUCUGACUCGCUCGGCACCUUACGAGAAAUCAA
rnacentral:rRNA from 1 species